UACGAAGGGGGCUAGCGUUGCUCGGAAUCACUGGGCGUAAAGGGUGCGUAGGCGGGUCUUUUAAGUCAGGGGUGAAAUCCUGGAGCUCAACUCCAGAACUGCCUUUGAUACUGAAGAUCUUGAGUUCGGGAGAGGUGAGUGGAACUGCGAGUGUAGAGGUGAAAUUCGUAGAUAUUCGCAAGAACACCAGUGGCGAAGGCGGCUCACUGGACUGGUAUUGACGCUGAGGUACGAAAGCGUGGGGAGCAAACAGGG
rnacentral:rRNA from 1 species